rnacentral:lncRNA from 1 species
GUCUAAAGCAAAAGACGUAAAUAUUAUUUUAUAAGGCAAAGAUAUUCUAACAUGUCAAAAAAAAAAAAACAAACCCCAAACUCCACCAGCCACCCUUUCAACUGAAACUUAAAGAACUGAUGUAGUGAAAUGGAGAAAAUGAGAACAGUCGCCUGAAAGUCGCCAUUGGUGAAGUGAUGAAGAACAUUUCCUGGCUUGGUGCGAAACUUGUCAGUUUUGUGAGUCUUGGCUGCAUAUGGAUUUCUGUGGUACAGUGUACAGUUUUAAACAGCUGCCUAAAGUCAUGUGUGACUAACCUGGUAAGUUUUGCUGGUCUAAUAUUUGUCUUUGCAGGAACUGGAACAUGGAAAAUUCAGCUUGGUGCAAAUGAGUGAGUUAUUUUUUCUUUAUGAGAUAUUCUCCUAAGAAGUGGUAGCGAGGCCAGAAAGAUUCUUUUUCCAAAAUAAAUUAGGGAUGUUUUUAAUUACAGAAGGUAGGGGAGCUCUUUUAGUUCUUUAAGUUAUCUGUUCAUAGAUUUGUGUGUGUGUGAGGAGGCAUGGGACUUGGGUUACAGAGGCUUCAAUGCAAUAAAUUUUGCAUGCUUUAAAAGUAUCCAUUUAAACUCAUUUAUUACAAAACCGUUUGUUUGUCUUGAAGUCAGAAAUAGGUUUGGCCACAGGGCAAUGCCUACUAGCUGCAGACGGCAGGCAGUACUGUUUAUAUUGUGGAUGGAUGGAGGUAUCAGCAGGUGGAUGCCCAAGGAAGCAGAUACAGAUGCCAUAUAGAACAACAUUUUAUUUGAAAAGCAAGAAUCGUUUUUAAAUUGCUUUACUUCUGUCUGUGCAUUUGUAAUUUUUUUCAGUUAUGAGUGUUUUGGUUAGAAAAUUUAUGUUUUCCUUCUCAUUUCUGGGUGUCGCCCUUCCUGUAUACAUUGUUUCAUAUCUUUCAGUUAUUGUGACUCAGUUGUCCUUAAAACAGCCACUGAAUCAACCGUAAAAACUAAAUACAUUGUAGCCAUGGAAAGAUGCACCCUUCUUAUGUAAAGACAAAGGAAAUAGCAAGAUAGCUUAAAAGGUUAUACUGCUUAUAGUCCUACUUUUUAGAAUAAUAAAAGUACCAAAUACAGUACUCAUUGUCAUGUUAAAGUAUUGGAGGUAGAAAUCCGUGGCAGAUAAAAAACAGACUUAUUCAUGUCACACUCUUCUGGCUUCAUUUAAAAUAUAGUUUAAAACACUACCUAAGCUUGCUAUGGAUAGUAGCACUUUUUAAAGAAGUUUGGUAUUUUAUACAAUUCAUUGUUGAAGACUUUAUUGCCAUUAAUGUGAAUUGUAUGCUUUAGGUUUUCACAGUUGUCAUCCAAACUUAAAAAUGGAAGAAUAAGACUAUUAAAUGUUUUCUUUACUAAAAAAAUUAAACAUUUUCUCUGAUCAUAAUAAGAACAUAUACUCAUUGUAAAAUAUUUAUAAGAUAGAGAAGAAAUAGAGAAUAAAGAAAAGAGUAUUCUUUCUUCUAACAUGUAUGUAAUUUUACAUACAGUUGGGCCCUCACCUUUUCCAUUUAACAUUACAUUGUAAGUUUUUCCUAUAUCCUGAAGUUUUUAUGGAAACAAGAUCUUGAAUAUAUUUAGAAUAUUUCCAUCCAAUAAAUGUACCACCAUAAUUUGUUAAUUUCCCCACACUAUCAAAACUGAUGUUGGUUGCUUCCAUGAUUGUAGUCUCCCGUUUAUUUGUUUUAUUUUUUUUUUCUUUUAUUUUUCAGUUAGGUUUAGUUUUCUCUUGCCUUUGUGUGGGCUCCUUUGGUCUCAGGCAGUAGGAGUGGACAGUUUGUUCCCUGUUGCACUGCCUUCCAUUUACCACCUACAGACAAAGGCACAGCUGAUGUGGUGGCGGCUGCAAGAGACACGGUCUGCCAAUUUCACUGGUGACUGUAAUAAAUGUUCUCCAUCUGGGCCUCCCACACAGGACCUGGAGUGACAAAAGCUAGGUGAAUAAACAGUGAGCAUAGCCAUGGAUCAGGGGAAAGGAUAUGGAAAGUGCUGGAGUUUAUUAUACUGUGUGAAUUUUUUUGUGCUCCAUUCUUUUAGCCUGGACAUUGGCUGUGAAGGUAAAAUCUUUGAUGUCACCGGGUAGUUCUUGAUAGUGAGGCAUCUUUGCCUUUUAAAAAGAAACACGAAGUCUGGUCCAAAGGAAUGUUAGAAUUGCUGUCCAUUAAUGCACAAAUCAUAGUUCUACGCAUGAACAGGAGUAUUUUACAUCAGUUGGGGAUCUGUAUGUUAGUUGAGUGUGUUAACUGACUUGACAUUUUUGAGUUAUAUGUGCCUGUGCUGCAGAGAACAAAAAAUAAUUAGUGGUCUUCAGAAUCCUAGUAUUGUGGGAUCCUUUAUGAAAGAGAGACAAAAGGGACUUAUGGUCAAAUAACUUAUGGAAAUGCUUUUUGCCAGCUUUUUGUAGAUUCACAGGCCACAACAAUAUAUUAAUGGAUUUGUUUAAUCAUAGUUUUCUGAUCUUCUUUGGCAACAAAACUUUUUUUUUUUUUUUUUGAGUAACAAGUCCCAACAACUGAGGAACUGCUGUUGAGAAAUGCUGUUAGAAGCAUCAAUUCAACUCAAUAAAAGACUGUUAGAAACAAUAGAGUUCAGAAGGUUAUCCUGUUUAAAAAAGCACAAACAUCAGUACCUUUCUCGUAUAUUGAUAUAUAACUUUAUAACAAGAUAAUAGAACAAUCCAAACAUUCCAUAAAAUAUCCAGAAAUUAGCCCCAUUUGUAUUGGUGUGCAAAUGGGCAGACCAGUAAAACAGAAGACAGUCUAGAAAUUAAACCAGGCACUUAAGGGUGUGGGGAAUAUGAUAAAGAUGGCAAUUCAGACCAAAGUAGAGCUAUUUAUUUAGAACAAAAAAUACCUUCCUUCAGUAGGUGAAUGGAUAAGUAAAUUGUGGCACAUCCAGACAAGGAAAUAUUAUUCAGAGCUAAAAAGAAAUGAGCUAUCAAGCCAUGAAAAGACAUGGAGGAAACUUCAAGGUAUAUACUAAGUGAAAGAAGGCCAAUCUGUAAAGACUACAUACCGUAUGAUUCCAACUACAUGACAUUUUAGAAAAGGCAUAACUAUGGAAGCAACAAAAAGACCUGUGGUUGUGAGGAAUGGGUUUGUAUGUGGUGGUGGUGGUGGUGGGGUGAUGAAUAGAGCACUGAGGAUUGUUAGAAUAGUGAAAAUACUCUGUGUGAUACAGCAAUAGAUAUACGUCACUAUGUAUUUGUCCGAACCCACAGAAUAUAUGACUCCAUGAGUGAGCUCUAAGGCACGCUACGGACUUGGAGUGAUUAUAUUGUGUCCAUGUAGAUUUAUCCUUAGUAAAAAUUGUACUCUUCUGAUGAGUGAUAUUGAUAACAGGGGGAGACUAUGCAUGUGUGGGAGCAGAAGGUAUUUGGGAAAUCUCCAUACCUUAAUCUCAAUUAUGCUCUAAGUCUAAAGCUGCUCUAAGAUAAAGCCUUUAAAAAAAGUUUAAACAAAAUUUUAAAAACCUAACUACAAUACUGGCAGAUUCAAAAUAGAUUCCAGGAGGUAUUAAAAAAUAGUGUGCUUUAAAAAAGUAGUGUGAUUUAAAUAUACACAAAUAGGGGCGCCUGGGUGGCGCAGUCGGUUAAGCGUCCGACUUCAGCCAGGUCACGAUCUCGCGGUCCGUGAGUUCGAGCCCCGCAUCAGGCUCUGGGCUGAUGGCUCGGAGCCUGGAGCCUGUUUCCCAUUCUGUGUCUCCCUCUCUCUCUGCCCCUCCCCCAUUCAUGCUCUGUCUCUCUCUGUCCCAAAAAUAAAUAAAAAAUGUUGAAAAAAAAUUAAAAAAAAUAUACACAAAUAACAAAAAGAAAACAAAACUUUACCCCAUAGAAAUUUUAGCAUAAAUUAUGGAAGAAUAUUUCUACAAUCUUGAAGUGGGAAUGCCUUAGGAAGCCUGAUUCAAAAAUAUGCAUUAUGUUGGCAAAGAUGAAAAACAUUUAUAGUUGGCAAAGUUGGGAUAAACCAGCACUCUCAUGUACAAUUGCACAUCAAGAAAUGUAUCUGAGAUUAUUACUUAACUAACCAAAGAUACAUCUGCAAAAAGCUGUUUACAGCAUGUUUGCACAUAACAUUACCACUAGAUUUCCAAGUUCCUGGUACUGUACUAUUAUAACUAAUACAUUAUUAUUUGAGUCCUUGCAGAGUUUUGUGAACUAAAUAUUAUCUCAUUUAUGUCUCUGAUGAGAGUACUAAGUUUAGACAGCACAGGUGACUUUGAAAAUAUCACAUCACGAGCAAGUGUCGCAUAUGGGACUAAAAGGCAGACUAUUCUGCAUUUACCAGGGUUGAAAGUAUGGAAAUGAUAUUAGUUCUGGCUGAGGUGGGCAGAGUAGACAAGGUUGUGCCCAGAAGUAGGUAUGGGUUAAGAAGAUUUGAGAUCCAGGACUGGGAUUGCGUGUUUUAAGCAGAUCACUGGAAUAGAUGGAGCUAAGGUAAACUGGUAAGGAUCCUAACUGUAAAGUAAGGAACAUGAAUUUGGUGAAGAUUAUAGAAGGUGUUGUGCUUUGGUUAAGAGCACAGGCUCUGGAGACAACUUUCAGAUCUCUAAAUUUUAACUCUUGGGCAAUUUGCUAAACCUCCCUGUGUCUCAGUUGUACAAUGGAGUUAAAAAUAAUGCCUACUUAGUAGGGCUGUUGAGAUGUUGAAUGAGAUUUAGUGUAAAACACCUUGUAGAGUGCCUGGAACAUAGGAGCCACUCACUGCAUGGUGGCUAUAAUGAUGAUGAAGAGUGGGGUGGAGAAUACCAUGAGAUUAGAGAAGUGUGUUGACAAACUCUGUUUCAUCAGAACCCUAUAGACCUGACUCAUGAGGCUAUUGCCCAAGACCAUUUGAUGGGCUUUUCAUUCAGCCUGUUAAAUUUAGUCUUGACUCAGUACUGUUACAAUAUGGCUUUAUGGUCACCAAGAAACAUCUGUUAACUUACUGUUUAAAAUGGAACGGAGAGGGGUGCCUGGCUGGCUCAGUCAGUGGAGCGUGGGACUCUUGAUCUUGGGAGUGUGAAUUCAAGCCCCAUGUUGGGUGUAGAGAUUGCUUAAAAAUAAAACCUUUACAAAUGAAAAAAAGAUAAAAUAAAAUGGAAUGGAGAAUCUACCCAGCAUCCACCCUGUUGUUUUUAUGAGCUAACAGAUUUUUGAAGGGAUAUGAAAAUUCGAUUGCAAAAUGACUCUUACAUUUGAUUUUAUAUGAUUGUGGUUCAAUCAUGUAAAGGAGAAUCAAAAGCUUCAUUUUGAACAAAAUUGUGGAAACAAAGUACUAUUGUGCACCUGGUUGUAAAAUUAAUCUAAAAGAUACAGUUCUUACUCUCUAAGUACUUAUUAUGUAAAAACAAAACAUGUUAAGCAUAAGUGGUUAAGGAAUGGAGGUUAGAGGAAUCUUCACUGACACAUCAAAUGAGAGUGGAAAAGGCAACAUUGGUUCUUUGGCUCCUGUGUCUGAUUACUUCUCAAGUAAAUCCCCACAGUGGUAGGCCACUGUAUAAGACUUCCAAGAGAUAGGACUUCUGGAGCAUUCCUGUGGAAUAGACCAUCUUGAAUUUAUGUGUUUAUUCCUUCCAUAUGUAUUUAUUGAACACCUCUUAUCAUUCUGGACUGUUAUAGGUACUAAGGACAGAGUGAAGCACAAAAUGAAUGGUGCUUACAUAGAAGGGGAGAGAGUGCUCAGUGAACAUAGUGAUAAACAGAUCUUCUCUUUCCUCUGAAAAUAGUGGGCUAUUCAGAAAGCCACAAGAGAUGCUUAAACCACAUACAGGGCCCCUUGGGAUUUUCUACCAUCUCCUGGAACAUAUCUUGCUUGCAGUGCUGGGACAGCUAGGAUAGAUGGCAUGCUCUUUGCUGGAUUAAUUGUCUUUUCCAAUUCAAUGGUUCAAAUUCAGCAACUUUUCAGGGGAGGUUCUGAGCAAUAUAGAGGUACUAGGAGUAUUCACUUAGUUAUCCUCUGCUCCUAAUUCUAAAUCAGUCAGUGAGGCAGUGAUCUAAAUUAGAUCAUAUCCAUAGAACACUGUUCGGGCACAUGUAUGAUUAUCAUAGGCCUAAUAUUGCCAUCUUUUGUAAGCCUUUUCUAUUUGCCAAGGGCUCCACUCACAUGAUGAUCAGGGAAAGGAUGAACAAUUUAUGGAUUUUUCCCUCUUAGUUCCUAUUUCUUUUAUUUUACCCCAGCACAAAAAGAUCUUAAAAUUUGUGAAAAUAUGAGAAAAAAAGAGUAAUCUGAUGUUUUCCUAUAUGUAAAAUUCUGAAUUUGUAUUUCUUCUCUCUUCUUAGUAAGUAAGGUGACUUUUAAAAAAUCUGAACAUAAUUCAUCUUUAACCUAUGAGUCCUUUAAAUGGAUGAAUUGACUAAAGUCGCAGGUUUAUUUAAUACCGUGUGAGAAUCUAUCCAAUGUCCUCAACCACUCCUUACAGUCAUAUCCCCACUCCCACCUUUAUCAUUUCUGCAGAGUUCUUAGACAUUCCAUCUUACAAUUUGCACUGGCAUUUUACCUGAUUUCGGGACUGAUUUAAUGACUUUAAAACAUUGUACUUUCUAGUCAGAAAGCAUGGAGGAGGCAACGCUAUUCCAGGAAGCUUUUUAUAAAAAGGUGUGGUAGUUGUACUGAACACAAUAUUGAUAGCUGGUAUUUAUUAUCUCCUUCUUCACUUCAGGGCAGGCAGCUUGACAUUGGCAUGCCAUAUAACCUGAGUGAACCGGUGAGUAAUCGCUUCCAUUGUCUGGAAGUUCAUAGUGUUUGUAUUGAUAAAAAUGGGGCAAUGGUCAGGUUUUAUUACAAUGAAAAUGUUCCCUAAGUAAAGUCUCAUUUAUUGGUCCUUGAUGGAGGAAACUCAAUUGAAAAUAGUGAGACGUCAGAAUUAUAGAAUAUUCAAAAAUGAACUCAGGCACAGUGUCUUGAAGAGGAAAGAACACAGGACAAAUCCAACUCUGUGAUUUUGGUUCUACAUUACUGUGUGGCUUUGGAUAAAUACUUAAUAUGUCUGAGACUUAGUUUUAUUAUAUGCUGUCUGAGAGGGUUGGAUUAGAUGGUCUCCAGUGUUUCCUCUAACAAUUACACUUAUGGUUUUAUUACCUUCCUGCACCUGUAUCCAUUUAUUCAACAAGUGUUUAGUGACUCAAAAUAUAAACAUGAACAGACUUCCCAAGCUGUUGAUCUAUUUAGGUUUUGAUAUGCUGCCUUCUGGUUGAGUUCCCAGUUUUGAGUUUUGCUUGUUUUUUUUUUUUUUUUAACUAUUUAAGUUUAUUUCUUUCUUUUGAGAGAGAGAGAGAGGGAGAGAGAGAGAGAGAGAGCGAGCACACAAGUGGGGUGGGGGCAAAGAGAGGAGGACAGAGAAUUCUAAGCAGACUCUGCACUGACAGCCCCGAUGUGGAGCUCAAACUCAUGAACUUUAAGAUCAUGACCUGAGCCAAAACCAAGAGCCAGAUGCUUAACCAAUUGAGCCACCCAGGCACCCUUGGGCUUGGCUUGUGCGUGAAGACAUGGCAAGGACGCACAGUAUGCUCGAUGCCAUGUUGUCCAGGACUUUACCUGCUGCCAGCCACCCGGUGGACAGUGUGUUCCCUGAAGGCUCUCUGGCUUCUAGGCCUGCCCCCCCACCCCACCUGUACUCAACAAUCCCGCAGCCCUGUAGUGAAUCACACCAAGCCCUGCUCUGCCUGUAGAUAUGAGGGCUCUGCUUAGAAUUCCAAAAGUCUUGAUCCUUCUGAGGCCACGGAUUCCUGGGUAGAUAUCUAUUUCUAAAAUACUUUUUGUUACUAAGUUGUAUUACCAGGUAACAAGAAAAAGUCACCAUUCUUUAGUCACCAUUGUCUCUUUAUUAUCUUUUGCAGUGCAUCCAAGGAUGUCAUUUUUGGAACUCUGUAGAUCAGGAAAACUGUCCUUUAAAGUGUGUAAGUAUUAAUUAUGUUUCUGUUUUGAUACUAAUAAUGCCUUCAAGAGAAAAGUCAUCUAGGAGGAUUCCCAUUUGAAUUCCCACUGGCUUUCAAUUAGUUUGCUUGACUCUAAAGGAAAAGUAUGAUAGCCUGAAUGAUACAUAAUUUGAGAUAAACAUUACUAAUGCAACUGGAGACCAAGGGAGUUUAAUGAAAACCAUGGAACCCAGGAAUGUUCAAUUGCUCCAAACCAUAAAGGCCUUUUAGUAGAAUGUCAGGCCUGUGUUAAAUUUCCUAGUCUUACGCUUCUCAAAAUUUAAAGCACAAUAAUCUAAGGAUCUGAGGAUCUGGUUAAAAUGCAGAUUCUGAUUCUGUAGAUCUUGGGUGGGACAUGAGAUUCUGUACUUGUAACAUGCUCCCAGGUGAUGUGAUGCUCGUAGCCCUUGGAUUACACUUGGAUAGCAAGGCCCUAGAUCAUGUUGAAAGUUUCUCUGCAGGGAACACGGCAGCAACCUAAUCCAGGAAUCAUAGCCCCUACAUUCACUCCACUCUAUGUAGAAAAUACAUCCCCAAAUAGUUGAUUUUUAAUUUAUCCCAGCUUUGCCAUUUAGUGUGUAACUAGGUAAGGUACUUAACCUCUGGGUACUUUCUUUCCUUAUCAAUAAAUUAGGAUAAUAAUAGAAUCUCCUCCCUAAAGACAAGGCCCGAUACACUGUAAUUACUCAGAUCUAAUGAAUAAGAAUUUUGUUAUUUAAAAGUGAGUUGGCUCCUUUUUUCAGAUUGUUCAGGUUGGAGGUUAAAUCAUGAUAAUUUGGGGGUAAUUUUAAUAUUGUUUUCUAUUAAUAAGUGAAACUAUAUCGUUGAAAUUUAAAUAAGGACAUUAACUUUUCCUUACAAAUGGUGCUCAUAGCUCUUCCUGUAUGAUAUGUCCGCAGAAGUCACUAUUAUGGGAGUUGCUUAGGCCGACUCUCACAUUUGUGACUAUGUGCCCCAUAGAAUGGAAGUUACCAAAACUUGGAACAGGUGCUAUCUGGAUUUUGGAGCUAUUACACAUUCUAAAAGCACUCUUACCUUUCUUUUGGUACCACUUUUUACAAAUUUCAGCUAAGAUCGUUACUUGUUUAGUUUGUGUUUGCUAUCUUUUGCUCUGACACGUAAACACAUCAGAGUGGGUCUCUCUCCUUCUGGUUCACACUGUGUCUACCGCACAGAACACAGUGAGGGGCACAUAGCAGGUGCUCAGAGAGCACUUGCUGGGUGAAUGAAUGGGAAGUACCAUUUGUUGCUGGCAACAGUCCAGGCAAUAGAGUGGGCACCGGAGCAGCCAGUCUGGGCAGGGGAACCUACUGGCCUUUGCUAGCCAGAGUGGUGGGUGGUUUCCAUUUCAGCUUCUGUCUCCACUGGGCAUCUGCCAACACCUCUUCAUUCGCUAACCUGGUCCAUCACAGAUUACCUCUUAGUUGCCUGGGAUUUUCUAGUAGACAUCAGGCUCCUCCAUUUUUCCAGUGAUGCAAACAUGAUUUUUAUAGCUGUUCAUACAGUGUGGCCUGCCUGGAGAGAAGGCCCAACUCUGGGCUUCUUGGUCUUGAUUGUUUUUAUUGGUUAUUUGUCAAUGGUGAGGCAAGAAAUUAAUUUGAAAGAAAAAUAUACCAAAGUGUCAUUAAAGUUAUUUACAACUUUAAGGAUUUUAAGUGGUUUUCUUUUUCUUUUUUUCCAUGCAGAACGACACAUAUACCACUGUUUGUGAGGUGAGUUGGCAAUCACAGAGAUGUCAUCAAACUCCAUGUUUUCAUCUAUUAUAUUUAAAAAGCUAUUGAAAUAAGAAUGAAGAAGCCAGGGCAUCUGGGUGCCUCAGUUAAGUGCUUAAGUAUGGGACACUUGAUUUCGGCUCAGGUCAUGAUCUCACGGUUUCCUGAGUUUGAGCCCUGUGUUGGACUCUGCAUACCAAUUGAGUAGAGUCAACUUGGGAUUCUCCCUCUCUCCUUCUCUCUGACUCUCCCCUGCUUGCACUGUGUCUCUUUCAAAAUAAAUUAAUUAAAAAGAGAGAGAGAGAGAGAGAGAGAGAGAGAGGGGCACUUGGGUGGCUCAGUCAGUUAAGUGUCCGUCCGACUUUGGCUCAGGUCAUGAUCCCUUGGUUUGUGAGUUUGAGCCCUGCAUUGGGCUCUUUGCUGUCAGCACAGAGCCUGCUUGGGAUCUUCUGUCCUCCUAUCUCUCUCCCCUUUCCCUGCUUGCUCUCUCUUUCUGUCUCUCUCUCAAAAAUAAAAAAAAAAAUUAAAACAAAAAAAAAGAAUGAAGAAGACUUAGUAAUUCUCAGAGCACAGAAAUGCUCACCUGGGAGUGCUAUAAAUGUGGGUAUAAAAAUGACUGUGAGAUUCCAUUUUUGACACAAAUAUUUGCUGUUUUAUAUACCCAUGUGCAUAUAUAUAUGUGUGUAUAUGUAUACACACCUUCACAUAUAUACAUAUAUAUUACUCUAAUUUGAUUGGACAGUUUCUAUUCUGAGUGUCUGGUGGGGGAAAGGGUGGUUGGGGAAGGGGGAAAGUGCACAUCUAGGGAUACCCUUACCUCUGCUGAUCUCAUUUUCUUCCCCACAAAUCACAGUGGUCUGUCAUUAAAUACAGAACAUUAAAAAAAGAACACUGUAGUUGCAAUUUUCUUCCUUAUUCAACAAACUCCUCUGACAACAUUUUAAAGCACAGCUUUUAAAAUAUUUUAUAUUUUAUUUGUUUCCCCUGCUGUGAUAAUAUGACACUUGAUGCUGACUCUGGCUGUUCAGAUCUCUUCUCAGCACACUGCCUGUUCCCCCUGCCCAUGCUGGUCCCUCCCCUGCAUUGGAUUUUCUCUUCUUUUUCAGAAAGACCGUAGAGAUUUUGAUCAUUUCUUAUUUGAUCUUCCUCAACUGUUUUGGAUUCUAUGGCCCUCAGAAUUAGUUUUAGGUUGACAACAGAUGUUUAUGAAGAAACUGCAUUAUUUCUCAGCUUAAAGUUUAUGUUGUAUUCUAUGCAAAUGUCCUUGAAACCGGGGAGCGGAACUAUUUUCUUCUGCCUGGGAAAGGAGUAUAAAUUAUCAUCAAUUAGUAAAAUAGGACAAUGUCUUUUUACUAGAGAAUAAAAAUAAAAAACAAAAAACAUUACACUGGAACAUAUUCUCAGUCUGUGCUUACUUUUCACCUCAAGUGAUUUUUUUCCUUGGGGAUAGAUGGAAGGGUCAGGGUUGGCUAAGAAGUGAUAAAACAGAGGGGAAAAUUCACUCCAUAUGUAAACAAAACAAUUAUAGGUCUUUCUUGAUUGAGAUAAAAAAAAACUGCCUGAGAAUCUUUUUAUAUGAUUAAAGUAAAAUUACCUCCCCCUCUCCCCAAACCAUCCCUGGGGAGACUGUGUCAAGAAAGGCAGAGAGAGUUCAAGGCUCUCAAGUGCUGAAGCAGCCCAGGAUUGGAUUUCUAAUGCUGUAGCUCCCAGGCAAUCAUUGUGCUGCCCAGUUGCCUGUGUUUAUAUAAUGUAUAUCUUUUCUCGCAGUGUUAUAACUUCCAUAAUUAUUCUGUUCUUUUCUAUUAAUACUUGGCUAUUUUACACUUACAAUUUUUUUUAAUGUUUAUUGUUGAGAGAGAAAAAGAGAGAGAGAGAGAGAGAGAGAGAGAGCAGAGCACAAGUGGGGGAGGGGCAGGGAGAGAAGGAGACGCAGAAUUCGAAGCAGACUCCAGGCUCCGAGCUGUCAGCGCAGAGCCCCAUGUGGGGCUCAAACCCACCAAUCAUGAGAUGAUGACCUGAGCCUAAGUCAGCUGCUUAACCGACUGAGCCACCCAGUUGCCCAGAUACUUUGCUAUUUUACACUUUAAAUAAAGUAGAACUGAAUAGCAAUACAUGCUUUAUAGCUAUGGAGAUCGAGAUAGGUAUGUGGAUGGAGACUUAAACUCAGCUACCCACACCUGCAGGAAAUCAAACUCUUCAACCAUUAAUGCGUCAACCCAGGAAGCUGGGCAUUUCUGCACAUGGUCCUUGGAGGACCUUGAAAAUGUUAGCUUAACAAAGUAUAAGUUGGAAAAUGAUGUUAGCCCAUGAGAGGGCUUAUCCCUGGUAAUUAAAAACACAAAUUAGAUCAUAUUGUUCCUAAAAAUCUUUUUAUGGCUUCGCAUUGCUGUUUCAGAAAAAUUACGAACUACCGUUUGCUGCCUCCCCGGCCUCUUCUUGCACCCCUCUCCCUGUUCUCUGUGCCGGCCACACUGGCCUUUCCCUCUUCUGAGCACAGGAGGCACAUUCCUGCCUCCCAGCUUUUACCCUUAAGACCCAUAGGAGCCCAGCUCCUUGAAAUCACUUAGGCCUUGCUCUAGGGUCAUCUUUGCAUGGUUCUUUCUGAGAGCCCUGAUGAGACAGCCUUCCUGCCCAGUCAGGACUUAUGCCUUCAACUUGUCUUAUUUUCUUCAUAGUACUUUUCAUUAUCUGAAUUUUAUUUUAUUUUAUUUUAUUUUUUAUGGCUUUUUUUCUUUUGUAAGUUUGUUUGUUUAUUUAUUUAUUUAUUUAUUUAUUUAUUUAUUGAGAGAGAGAGACAGAGACAGAGAGAGAGAGAACAAGCUGGGGAGGGGCAGAGAGAGACGGAGACAGAGGAUCCAAAGUGGGCUCUGUGGUGAGAGCAAAUAGCCCGAUUCGGGGCUUGAACUCAGGAACUGGGAGUUCAUGACCUGAGCCCAAGUCAGUUGCUUAAGCAACUGAGCCACCCAAUCAAUCACCCCUGAAUGUAUUUUGUUUAAAAGAAUUUUUUCUCUGUUGUUGUCGGUCCUCUUCUAAGAGAACGUACAUUCCAUGAAGGUAGGGAACUUACAGGUCUUGCUCCUUCAAGCCUAAACCCGUGCUUGGCACACACAAAAAAUGUACUCAGCAAACACGUUUUGAAUGAAUGAACGAACAGUGUUUUAGGGAAAGAAGCCACAAUUCAUAUGGAGAGGCUGUAACUAGGGGCAUCCCAGGAGGGUGGUAGGUGUGUCCUCCUUGUGCUACAGGAGUAAGAAAAGGCAUUUUGCAGCAAGUGAGCCAGUCUGAUAAACACAGGAGUGGAGCCAGAGGACAAUGAGACAAGUGGUUUUACUACAAUGGGAGAAAUGGCAGUAGGGACUAAAACAGAGACAGCAGGUCGAUGUAGCCCCUGGGAAGCAUGCACUUGGCUUCUGCAGUGGGAAUGGUAGCUCAGUAGCCCGGAAUAAAUACACUGUAUAAUUGCCCCAUCCACGGGCUCUGGGCUCAGAUUCUCUGGAUUCCUUAAAUCCAAAACCUUUAGAUGCUCUCUAGACAAUUUGAGCACUGGGUAAUGUCAUGCGAAGUCCAACGUUAGAUAGAGAGAGGAAGUCUAAUAUACAGUGUUGCGUCCACUUGAUAUAAUAUUUAAACUCCUUAGAGCAGAAACUUCCAGUUUUAUGACUACAAGUUCCGGAGAGCUAUGUACAGCAUGGUGAUUAUAGCUAAUAAUACUGCAUUAUAUACCUGAAUGUUGCCAAGAAAGUAGAUCUUAAAUGUUCUCACCCCAGAAAAGAAAUGGUCAUUGUGUGAUGGGAUGGAGAUGUUAGCAAAUGCCAUUGUGUUAAUCAUUUUGCAACAUAUAAAUAUAUCAGAUUAACAUGUUGUAGACCUUAAAUUUACACAAUUUAUAUGUCAAUUACAUCUCAAUAAGGCUGAAAAAAAAAUACAAGGUUCACAAAGUAACGAAACAUUUAAACUCCUAGAUAGAUCAGAAUUUUACUUAUGUAUUUUCCCCUGAAAAAAAAAAUGCAGGAAAAAUAAGCCCACAAUUUCCUGGGCAGUCAGUACUAGCUGUAUUUCCAAAUAAACACUAUUCCAUCUCCUUUCUUCUUCCUUGGUGACUUGGAAAAAAAUUUCCAUGUUACAUGAUAAUUUUGUUGCCACUUGGUAUAUUUAUUCUCUCCUCAGGUAAUGAACACGUUGAAUGCAUUUUAUUGAAACCUGCAAUAAGGAUGUGAAAAGUAUACUAAACCCUUAAGUUAAAUAAUCCUGAGCCCAGACUGAGGUAUUUAAAUUAAUCCUUAACUAAGCAAACCCGAGCUUAUCAGCCUGUACUUCCUUUGAGUGCCCAGGUCAAACAUUGUGCAGCUAGUAUUUGUAAAUUACCUGGGAUGUUUAGGGCAAAUGUGUUGUGUCAUCGUUUCCACCAUCAUCAUGAGAAACAAUAGCAUGUUGUCUUAGGUAUUAUAAUUGCAAAUUGAGAGCAGGAAUAUGGAUCAUGAUUGUGCUACAGUCACAAUUUGUGCCUUUUCUCCAAGAGUUUUUUCCCCUUCCUUUCUUUUCUCUUUCUUGUUUUGUUUUCUUUCUUUCUUCCUUCUUUCCUCCCUCCCCCUCCCUCCCCUCUUUCUUUCUUUCUUUCUUUCUUUCUUUCUUUCUUUCUUUCUUUCUUUCUUUCAUCUUGAAUGCUAAUGUAUCUAUUAAGAGUUGCAGGAAAUUUGUGUCUUAGUUAUGAAAAUGUUUACUCUUUUCAGUUAAUGAAACAAAAUGUUAAUCAUUGUUAGGUUUUUGUAGACCUUAAAAUUUAACAUUACUAUUUUUUAAAAUUUUUAAAGUUUUGGGGCACCUGGGUGGCGCAGUCGGUUAAGCGUCUGACUUCAGCCAGGUCACGAUCUCGCGGUCCGUGAGUUCGAGCCCCGCGUCGGGCUCUGGGCUGAUGGCUCGGAGCCUGGAGCCUGUUUCCGAUUCUGUGUCUCCCUCUCUCUCUGCCCCUCCCCCGUUCAUGCUCUGUCUCUCUCUGUCCCAAAAAUAAAUAAAAAGGUUGAAAAAAAAAAUUUAAAAUUUUUAAAGUUUUUAAAUUUAAAUUCAAGUUAGUUAACAUAUAGUGUGAUAACUUUUUCAGGAGUAGAAUUCAGUGAUUCAUCACUUACAUAUAACACCCAGUGCUCAUCCAUCUAUUAUUAGGAAAUACAUAAUUAUAACAUAUGAGUAUAUGGUGUAUACCUUCUAUGAUAUGGAAAGUGAUACACAUCAUUCAGUGACUGUGUGUCAUGUGGCUAAAAAUACUUGUUAAUGGAAUUGGUGAAUAGAUUUUUAUUAUUUUUAAUAUUUAUUUAUUUAACUUAAAUCCAAGUUAGUUAACAUAUGGUGUAAUAAUGGUUUCAAAAGUAGAAUUUAGUGAUUCAUCACUUACAUAUAACACCCAGUGCUCAUCAUAACAAGUGCCCUCCUUAACACCCAUCACCCGUCUAGCCCAUUCUCCCACUCAACACCUUUCCAGCAACCCUCAGUUUUUUCUCUGUAUAUUAAGAGUCUCUUAUGGUUUGCUCCCUCUAUUUUUAUUCUAUUUUUCCUUCCCUUCCCCUAUGUUCAUCUGUUUUGUUUCUUAAAUUCCACAUAUGAGUGAAAUAUGAUAUUUGCCAUUCUCUGACUAUUUUUGCUUAGCAUUAUACAUUCUAAUUCUAUCCAUGUUGUUGCAAAUGUCAAGAUUUCAUUCUUUUUGAUCACUAGUAACAUUCCAUUGUAUAUAUAAACCAUAUCUUCUUUAUCUAUUCAUCAGUUGAUGGACAUUUGAGCUCUUUCCAUAAUUUGGCUAUUGUUGAUAGUGUUGCCGUAAACAUUGGGGUGCAUGUGCCCCUCUGAAUCAGCUCUCCUGUAUCCUUUGGAUAAAUACCUAGUAGUGCAAUUGCUGGGUCAUAAGGUAGUUCUAUUUUUAGUUUUUUGAGGAACCUCCAUACUGUUCUCCAUACAGUCUGCAUUCCCACCGACUCAGCAAAAGGGUUCCCCUUUUUCCACAUCCUUGCCAACAUCUAUUGUUUCCUGGGUUGUUAAUUUUAGCCAUUCUGUCAGGUGGUUUUGAUUUGUAGUUCUCUGAUGAGCAGUGAUGUUGAGCAUCUUCUCAUGUGUCUGUUAGCCAUCUGAAUGUCUUCUCUGGAAAAGUGUCUUUAACAUUGGUAUUAAGGUAUUUAUUAAAAUGUUCAAGUUAUUAAGAAAUGUAGUCAGUUUUUAAUUUCUCAAGGAAAGCAUGGGUAUAUAAAAUAAAUAGUCAUCAUUUUAAGCUAAAGUUUAAAGUGAUUAACUCACUGACCUUUGACCAAGGUGGCAAACAUAUAAUUGCAUGGUUGAGCUCAGCGUUUUUUUCCCCCACUGUGGGGUGUCACAUAUUAUAGGGUCAUGAAAUCAAUUUGGUGAAUAAAGAGUCACAACAAAUUAAAUGAAUAGAAUAGAACAGAACAUAUAUGAGUGCAUCACAGGUAUGGGGUUUCUUAAUGGGAUAAAGUUGUUCUAAAAUUAGAUUGUGGUGAUGGUUGCCCAAUUUUAUGAGUAUAGUGAAAAACCACUGAACUGUGUGCUUUAAAUGGCUGAAUUUUAUGGCAUAUGAAAUAGAUCUCAGUAAAACUGUUAAAAAAAAAAAAAGAAAAAAAGUAAGUGCUGUUUCAAGAUUCCCCCCCUCCCCACCCCCCAACCUGUAUGUGUGUGCCAAGUUGUUUUGUGAAAAUGUGUUUUGGAAUCUGGGACAUGAUCAAAAAAGUUUGAAAGGUGAUGUUCUAAUUCCACUAGCAAAUGGAAAUUUUAAGUACUGCGGUGGAAAUAAUUGAUACACCGGUAUACUUAUAUAGCAGGCAUUCGCAUUUCACAAUUUAGUUGACAUGUAUCAGCGAAAGCAGUUCCUGGGCUGCACUGACUGGUAUGGUCCCUGUCUUCCUUAGCGAGAAUCAUGUGAGGUUGGCUGCAGCGGUGCUGAAGGUGCAUACGAA